rnacentral:rRNA from 1 species
AUGAACGCUGGCGGCGUGUUUUAGGCAUGCAAGUCGAAUGGUGUCCCGCAGCAAUGCGGGAUAACCAUGGCAAACGGGAGCGUAACACAUUGGUAACGUACCCCUUUCUCGUGCAUAACCCGGAGAAAUCUGGGCUAAUUCACGAUGAUCUGCUUGGUCGCAAGACUGAGUAGUAAAGAUUUAUCGGAAAGGGAACGGCCUAUGGUCCAUCAGCUAGUUGGUGAGGUAAAAGCUUACCAAGGCGACGACGGAUAGCGGGUGUGAGAGCAUGACCCGCCUCACUGGGACUGCGACACUGCCCAGACUCCUACGGGAGGCUGCAGUCGAGAAUCUUCCCCAAUGGCCGCAAGGCUGAGGGAGCGACGCCGCGUGCAGGAAGACGGCCUUCGGGUUGUAAACUGCUUUUCUGUGGGAAAAAUUCUGAUGGUACUACAGGAAUAAGGGGCUGCUAACUUCGU